GAUGAACGCUGGCGGCGUGCCUAAUACAUGCAAGUAGAACGCUGAAGGAAGGAGCUUGCUCUUUCCGGAUGAGUUGCGAACGGGUGAGUAACGCGUAGGUAACCUGCCUGGUAGCGGGGGAUAACUAUUGGAAACGAUAGCUAAUACCGCAUAACAGUAGAUGUUGCAUGAUAUCUACUUAAAAGGUGCAAUUGCACCACUACCAGAUGGACCUGCGUUGUAUUAGCUAGUUGGUGAGGUAACGGCUCACCAAGGCGACGAUACAUAGCCGACCUGAGAGGAGGAUGAGCCACAAGGGAACUGAGAGACGGCCCAGAGCCCGAGGGGAGGCAACAUAGGGAAAUAGUGGACAAUGGCCGAAAGCCUGACGCAGGAAGACGGGGUAGGGGAAGAGGGCCUUCGGGUGUUAAACUCUUUUUGUUUGGAAAGACAAGUGGCAGAGUAAAACCAUGACACAGUGACGGUACCCAAAGAAUAAGCAACGGCUAACUUCGUG
rnacentral:rRNA from 1 species